rnacentral:misc_RNA from 1 species
AGUGCCAAUGGUGGCAAUGCCACAAAGGACAGACCAAAGUACAAACGCCAAGUACAUUAUGGAUGUCUGGAAAAUGGGACUUAAAACUCCAGUAGAUGAGAAAGGGAUUGCUAGAUGGAAAUCUAUACAAAAUUGCAUUGAAGAAAUAAUGGAGGGAGAGAAAGGGAAAGAGAUCAAAAGAAAUGCCUCCAAAUGGAGACAAAUGACCAAACAGGCAGUGGAUGCAGGUGGAAGUUCUGAUAAAAAUAUUGAUGAAUUUGUAGAUGCUAUUUUACAUAUUUCUUCUAGCAAUUGCAGGUGAAUAUGUAACUUAUUUAUUCACUUGUAGUACUAAAUUUUCUACUUCUUGUUCUUGGCAUGGUCAUUUGUGAUGUGUAUUGUCAAUUCCAUCCUUGAGGAAAAUGCAGUUUCAUUCCCAAGCAACAUUCCAAUUCCAACAAUAAAAGUUCAAGUUUUCAAAAUUUUCAAUAACA